rnacentral:lncRNA from 1 species
UUUACUCCUGGGCUCCAAGUUCAUGGCCUUCACAAUGCUAUCAUCUAUUGCUGUGGAGAAUCUCUUGUGUCAUUUAUCUCAAAGAGUGGUAACAGAGAAUUAUCUAGUAACAGAUCUGUCCUUUUUCCAUAGGCCAUAUGGGGUUAACUAGGAGCUGAACACUGCCUUCCAUCUUGGGGGCUCAUCCCUACUUUCCAGGCACAGGGGUAUUGACCCUCAGACAUGGGCCCCCUUGGCCUUUCCAGCCCCAUUCUUUUCCACAAACCCCAGCAAGUGGAUCUUGGGAAAUCCCAGGCUCAAGACGCCUUCUUGCCCGUGUACAGCUCUGCCUGCUUCACCUGGUUUCCAGGCUCUCUUCGGGCCACACCAAUGCCAGGGUGACAUCUCCCACCUUGACGGUGUAGAGGUGCUGCUGAAACUGUGAGUCCUGCCAUGUGUUCA